GACGAACGCUGGCGGCGUGCUUAACACAUGCAAGUCGAACGGUGAAGCUCCAGCUUGCUGGAGUGGAUCAGUGGCGAACGGGUGAGUAACACGUGAGCAACCUGCCCCUGACUCUGGAAUAAGCGCUGGAAACGGCGUCUAAUACUGGAUACGAGAAGGGUCCGCAUGGGCACUUUCUGGAAAGUUUUUCGGUUGGGGAUGGGCUCGCGGCCUAUCAGCUUGUUGGUGAGGUAAUGGCUCACCAAGGCGACGACGGGUAGCCGGCCUGAGAGGGCGACCGGCCACACUGGGACUGAGACACGGCCCAGCCUCCUACGGGAGGCAGCAGUGGGGAAUAUUGCACAAUGGGCGAAAGCCUGAUGCAGCGACGCCGCGUGAGGGAUGACGGCCUUCGGGUUGUAAACCUCUUUCAGCAGGGAAGAAGCGAAAGUGACGGUACCUGCAGAAGAAGCACCGGCUAACUACGUG
rnacentral:rRNA from 1 species